rnacentral:rRNA from 1 species
GACGUCAAAUCAGCACGGCCCUUACGUCCAGGGCUACACACGUGCUACAAUGGCCGAUACAGAGGGCAGCUACCUGGUGACAGGAUGCAAAUCUCCAAAGUCGGUCUCAGUUCGGAUCGGAGUCUGCAACCCGACUCCGUGAAGUUGGAUUCGCUAGUAAUCGCGCAUCAGCCAUGGCGCGGUGAAUACGUUCCCGGGCCUU